GGGGCGGUGAACUGCCUGCCCUGGGAGGACAGAGCAAAGUCUAAAAGGCCUGCUUAUCAGAGUGCUCUGACAUGCUAGGUGGAAGCCAGGUUCUGCUCCUCACUCAGAUGGGGACAGGGAGAGGGCACCCCCAGUCCUGUGGGGAAUAGAGAGGGAGCCACGGAAUGUGGGAUCAUCACUCUGCGUAAUGACCUAAGUUAAGAGUCCUCCGCGAAGAAGGAACCUCAACUGGCUUAUAUGCAAGUCUGUGUGGCAUUUCCAUGAUUGAUGUGGGAGAGCCCCGCCCACUGUGGGCGGCGCCACCCCUUGGCUUGUGGUCUUAGGUUGUCUGAGAAAAAGCAAGCGGAGAAGCUGGAGAAAUAUUCAGUGACUAAGAGGACUGGCUACUCUUCCAGAGGCCCCGGGUUUGGUUCCCAGCACCCAUGUGGUGGCCGACAACAUCUACUCUAACUUCAGGAGAUUCGAUGUGGUCCACAGACAAAAGACACCCAUACAUAAUAACAAUUAUUAACAAUAAAUGAAUGAGUGAGUCAUUGAGAACAAGCCAACGAGCAGCGUUCCUCCUCCACUGUGUCUGCUUCAGUUCUCCAUUCCAGGUUCCGGUCUGCUUGAGUUCCUGGCUUGGCGCUUCACGAGGCGCUGUGAUCGGGAAGUGUAAGCCCUGUCCUUGACAGUCUAUCACAGCAAUGGGAAGCAAACCUUUGCAUCCCCAAAGGCACUGUUCUUCCCUCCUGGAGCUAUAAAUAAAAAACUUUGCCCAGCUGCCUCUUCUGUGCCGGGCCUGACCCAUCACCAGACCCCCUGCCUUCUUGUGAUGGGCACUUCUUGGAGAGAGGACAAAACUGACCUCAUCACACUACAACCUCCAAGAUCACAUUAGAAAGAUAAAUAAAUUACAAGGAGGCACAGAAUGAAGAGAACCGUAAGGAUGUGCUAGGAGUCAGGGGAGAUAAAGCCAACUGCUCUGAAGAGAGACAAGCAGAAACGAGCCAAGGCCCAGGAAGGAUGGUGCCAGGGUUUGACUAGGCUUGGCCCAGAGAGUGGGACUAUUUGCAGGUGUGGCCUUGUUGGAAUAGGUGAGUGGGUGUGGGCUUUAUAACCCUCAUCCUCGCUGCCUGGAAGCCAGUAUUCUGCUAGCUAGAGUUCUCAGCUUCUCCUGCACCACCCCUGCCUGGAUGCUGCCAUGUUCCCACCUUGAUGAUGGACUGACCCUCUGAACUUGUAAGUCAAUCCCAAUUAAAUGUUGUUCUUAUAA